AUGAACGCUGGCGGCGUGCUUAACACAUGCAAGUCGAACGAUGAAAGCCCACCUCGCUGGGUGGAUUAGUGGCGAACGGGUGAGUAACACGUGAGUAUCCUGCCCUUAACUCUGGGAUAGCCUGGGAAACUGGGUCUAAUACCGGAUAGGACCGCCGGCCACAUGGUGGGUGUUGGAAAGAUUUAUCGGUUUUGGAUGGACUCGCGGCCUAUCAGCUUGUUGGUGAGGUAAUGGCUCACCAAGGCGACGACGGGUAGCCGGUCUGAGAGGGUGACCGGCCACACUGGGACUGAGA
rnacentral:rRNA from 1 species